GACGAACGCUGGCGGCGUGCUUAACACAUGCAAGUCGAACGAAGUGGCGAACGGGUGAGUAACGCGUAAUCAACCUGCCCUUCAGAGGGGUACAACAGUUGGAAACGACUGCUAAUACCGCAUACUGAAGGAGGGGAUUGCGUCUGCUUAGCUGGUUGGAGGGGUAACGGCCCACCAAGGCGAUGAUCAGUAGCCGGGCUGAGAGGAUGAACGGACAAAUUGGGACUGGGACAAGGCCCAGACUCCUACGGGAGGGAGGAGGGGGGAAACAUCCGCAAUGGACGGAAGUCUGACGGAGCAACGCCGCGGGAGUGAUGACGGGCUUCGGGUUGUAAAGCUCUGUUAAGCGGGACGCGGUACCGGAAUAGAAAGCCACGGCUAACUACGUGCCAGCAGCCGCGGUAAUUC
rnacentral:rRNA from 1 species